AACCCCGGUUCAGCCGAGACUCUGUGGCGGAAUCCAGCAGGAGACUCUCAGGCACAGACCUCAGAAAACCUCUGGAGGUUUGAUUCCAAGACCCUGGAACCUCAUUGGAAGGGACCGGUUCCUGUUGUCCCAUCAACUCCCUUGGUGGUGGAGGUGGCUGGACAUUCUGCCUGGAUACAUCACAACCAUCUAAAAGCAGGACCCCCCCACAGACGUCAAAAAGGACAAAUGGAAGGUUAUCAGCCAACCAGGUGACUAAAAGCUAAGACUGGAAUGGGUUGGAGAUGUUUCACCUUAAUGAUAAUAUUCUCUGGGACACUGGCAGUAUUGCCCCCAAGAGGACUAGAUCACACAAAAAAUGUAUGGAUUCAAUUGGCAAACUUGCUUAACUUGUCUGACUUCUGCUUAAAUGUUGAUCUAAAUUUCCAUUAUGUGCUGGGAAGCUGUCUCAUUCCGGUAUGCACCUCUUUAGAAUUAAUACAACCUUACACCCUAUUUAAGGACAUCCCAGGAAAAAAAUCUUACUUAUAUGGAUAGUUAUAAUUGGGGGCAUGACACCUGCCGUAAACCUAAAAAUUCUGUCAAAUUAUAUACACCCAAGGUAAUUAUGUCAAACAAAACUGAAUGUGCUAUGUAUAAAAAUUGUACAACCAAAUGUCUGAGGAUAAAAUGGUCAGAAGGGAUGUCCUGCCAUAUAAAACAAAAAAUUGUGUGUAACAAUUGCCAUAUCUCCCUGCCCACAGGAUGGUUUUAUACCUGUGAAGGAAUGACCUUUAAUUAUAUUCCAGCAAAUUUAACCAAGACCCAUUGCUGUUUGAGUCGUCUAGCUGUAGUGUUGCCAGACAGAACUGAUUUGAUUGUGCCUAACGGAACUAAACGUUGGUCACCUUACACUGCACCAGGAUGCGAUGAUGACGUAGGUCUGUUAACAGAUGCUGAAGUGAUAACCAUGAUAGCAUCUUUUGUUGCCCUGCCUUCUAUAGGAGUCCAUGCUGAAAAGGCAGUACGAAAAUUAGCUUGCAAGGUGGUCAAAGGGUUAAAUGUUACCUAAUCAGCCUUGGCAUUAAUUAACCAAGAGUUAUAGGAACAGAGACAGACAAUCUUAGAUAAUAGAGCAGCAAUAGACUAUUUGUUGCUCCUCCACCACCAAGGUUGUGAAAAAGUAAAAAAUAUGUGUUGUUUCAAUCUUACCAAUAAUGGUCCAAAGAU